rnacentral:rRNA from 1 species
UACAGAGGGGGCAAGCGUCGUUCGGAAUUACUGGGCGUAAAGGGCGCGUAGGCGGCCUGCUAAGUCGAACGUGAAAUCCCUGGGCUCAACCCAGGAACUGCGCCCGAUACUGGUUGGCUUGAAUCCGGGAGAGGGAUGUGGAAUUCCAGGUGUAGCGGUGAAAUGCGUAGAUAUCUGGAGGAACACCGGUGGCGAAGGCGGCAUCCUGGACCGGUAUUGACGCUGAGGCGCGAAAGCCAGGGGAGCAAACGGG